UACGUAGGUGACAAGCGUUGUCCGGAUUUACUGGGCGUAAAGAGCGCGCAGGCGGUCGAUCAAGUCGAGUGUGAAAGCCCCCGGCUCAACUGGGGAGGGUCAUUCGAUACUGAUCGACUCGAAGGCAGGAGAGGGUAGUGGAAUUCCCGGUGUAGUGGUGAAAUGCGUAGAUAUCUGGAGGAAUACCGGUGGCGAAGGCGGCAUCCUGGACCGGCAUUGACGCUGAGGAGCGAAAGCCAGGGGAGCAAACGGG
rnacentral:rRNA from 1 species